GGAAGAACAAAGGCAGCCAGGAAAAUAAAUAGGAAUGCGUAGCCACCUCGAAGUGGCAAACUGGAAGAAAACAAAGAGGGGGGAAAUCGAGCGGGAAGGUCUGCAUCUGCCUUACAGUCACGACCUGGACACAGCCUCUCCAUCCAUCCCCUAUGCUCCAAUGCACCAGACAGCUGACCAGCUGAAAUGGAGGUCACCAAGCAGGAGCCAGCACUACUCUGAAGCUCCUCACACAACUUGUGCUCAGAAGAAAAGUGCAUCACAUGGAUGCUCAGGAGAGAAAACUAGAGGGGUCUGGCUGUAACUGAGUUUCUGUAGUCGGGUGGACAUGUUCUGCCUCCUUCUUUCCCUCUCUCUUCCCUUCACACCUCCCACCCUCCAAGGUAUAAUGCUUUGUUCUGUUUGUUCACUGUAGUCUAGCAUAAACCUGGAUGGCCACUUGGAAGGAUAGUCCCAGAUUUCCUGUUGUACCGUGAUUUGACUGCUCGCUCCCUGCUUCCUUGCUCCAGCACCCACAUUUCUGUAAUGAUGGGUCAGAGAAUCCGGAGACUAAUCUGGCUGUAAACGAGUUCAAGGGAAAAAGGUAACACCUGGGGACUUGUUUAAACAACAGACUUGUUUAAGGCCCAGGUGACUGGAAGGAGACCUAAGAAGAUGGUUUGUCUGGGUUCCAGGAUGCAGGUCCCUUGUUGUGGGGCAGGUAAGGCAUUCUUAAGAGAACUCUCUCAAAGCUCAAGAUGAGCUCAGAAUACCAAACAAAUCUGCAAAGAUUGUUUGUAGCCAGACCCAUUUUUAAUAAACUGGCAUCCACACAAAAUUUUGAAAUAGGCCAGUUUUUCCUUUUACAAAUUUUUUACUUUAGUUUCUAAAGUAAUAGAAGUUUAAGUGUACAGUUACAAUAGAUAAAAAAGCAAUAAAAUACCGCAACAUUUAUUACAUAAUAAAAGUCUAAAAGAGAAGAUGCUAGCUUUUCUCCAAGUAACAGGACUGUAUCCCUGGUUGCAUUUAAAGCAUUUAUUUUUCAUGUCAUCACUGACAUUAGAGAGUCCCGUAAACCAUAAGUAUCUUUAACAGCUUGUCUUGCUAUGUACAUAGCCAUUUAUUCAAGUAUAAAGAUUGAAUUAAAAAUAAAUGAAAGCAACUGA